rnacentral:lncRNA from 1 species
ACAAAAUGCAAAAAGGGUAAAAACAAAGCGCUAGACUGAGAAGGAGAGACAGAAAGAGCGAUCAGAGAGAAAGAAAGCGAUCAGGAAGAGGGAGAGUGAGAGCGAGAGAGAAGGGGGGGGACGAAACGGCAAACAAAAAAAACAGGUUCCCGUGCUUUUCGGACUGAGUUUGUCAAUUUGAAAAGAAAGAAGACGAAAAAAAAACGACAAGAAUGAAAGAACCUAUCUUUGAGACUAGAGAAACCUCUGUGUUCUACUAACCGGGUGCCUGCUUAACAGCCAAAUGACAGCCAACAUCUGUUUGUAAGGAAGCCAAGAUCGGGUCUUAAAAAAAACUGGCUUGAUUUUUCCCUCACUCUCUUUCCGUCUCUCUCCCUUGCUCCCUUGCCAUCUCCCAUUUAAUCACUCUCUCUGUAAAAAGUGAAAGGAGAACGGCAAGAUCUCGGAAAUUCGGCAUGGACAACUUGGAAAGACGCACCAGCACUGUCACACUGCAGCCUCCCCCCUAACGCCUGGAAGCCCAGACAGCAUGGCCGGCAUGGUCUCGCCUCCCCCAUGAGGCGCACUGGAUGUGCAACUUCUCCCGGCCUCAGACCAGCCCAGGAAUCACAGAG